GAUGAACGCUGGCGGCGUGCCUAAUACAUGCAAGUCGAGCGAACAGACGAGGAGCUUGCUCCUCUGACGUUAGCGGCGGACGGGUGAGUAACACGUGGAUAACCUACCUAUAUGUCUGGGAUAACUACGGGAAACUGGAGAUAAUACCGGAUAAUAUAUUGAACCGCAGGGUUCAAUAGUGAAAGACGGUUUUGCUGUCACUUAUAGAUGGAUCCGCGCCGCAUUAGCUAGUUGGGAAGGUAACGGCUUACCAAGGCAACGCUGCGUAGCCGAUCUGAGAGGCUGAUCGGCCACACUGGAACUGAGCCACGGUCCAGACUCCUACGGGAGGCAGCAGUAGGGAAUCUUCCGCAAUGGGCGGAAGCCUGACGGAGCAACGCCGCGUGAGUGAUGAAGGUCUUCGGAUCGUAAAACUCUGUUAUUAGGGAAGAACAAAUGUGUAAGUAACUAUGCACGUCUUGACGGUACCUAAUCAGAAAGCCACGGCUAACUACGUG
rnacentral:rRNA from 1 species